ensembl:lncRNA
GGGAAAGCAUGGGUGAAUGCACAGCUAGUUGUUGCCCUCAUUGUUCCAUGAAAAAGCAUAGAAGCUAAGUUAUAAUCAAGGAAAACUGAUGUGAUAGUCUAACUGUGUUUACUGCUUAAAUGGAGCAAAAAAUAAAGUUGGGGGUAUGAACGUCUAAUUUCCAUAGAUUGUGAUGCAUGAACUAAUUUUUGCAAACCUUCUCUUAAACUGUAAUUUCAGAACUCUACCUGCUUCUAAAUUGGAGGGAGAAUACUAAAAUACAAUAUUUUGAGAAUAUAACUGCAAUACUGCACUGCCAGUUAUGAUUCUUCCCCCGCACCCUCCUGUAAUCUUCUUUGGAUCAAAACUAAGCAUAUUUCUUGUUGCCUUCUGAGAAAGCCUGGACUGCUCGGGUUGCAUAUAUGAAGGAUAAGGAAGCAUUAAGCGCAUCUUCCCAAGACACUUUUGAAGGUUGUCACUACAGUCCAAAACUGCACACAUACCCGGCAAUGCACAAAACUGCAGACAUUAUUUAAACUUGUACUACAGUUGAACUCUCCUUUUUAAAAAACUAAUUCUGCAUGUCUAAAUGUUUCAUACAGAGUUUUACACAUAGAUUUCUUAUGACACUCCACUUCUAUCCUUUCUAGGGCUGCUUCUAAGCACAGUAAAAACAGUGUGUACUGUGCUGCAGCUGUCUUGGGAUCCUGAAAGUCUGUAUGCUGAAGAAAGGUGGCAUGUUUCACAGAUUCUGGAGAUGGGAUGAAGGCAAGAGACAAGCUGUGAGUAUCCGGGAAUCCGGCAGUUUCGUUACAGAAGAUCACCUUGGGAAUAUUACCUCAUUACAACACCCAAGCAAUCACAAUACUUCAUAGAUUUACCCAACAAAGAGAAUGAAGACGUCAGCACAUCAUAUAAGAAAGAUCAUGGCAUUCCACAAAUACAUGUUGAGAAGAAGUGGUUUCUUUCUUUAACAGGAUUAUACUGCAUUGUUUAAAAAUGAAUCUUCGGCUUGGUUUCAAACGACUCCCAGAUUACAAUUGGCCUGUGGUCUUGCUUCAGUUGCCCCUUGCUUCAGCACUUUUAAAACGGAACUGUACUUUGAUCAAUAAUUGCUCUGUGCCAUAAAGCCAAUUCCAAUGUAUAGCAACCCUUGCCAUGAUUUACUAGGGAUAAAAUCCUCAGAAGUGGAUUGCCGAAAUCUCUUUCUCGUAGUGCUCUGAGAUGAUGCAGCUUGUCCAAGGCCACACAAGCUGCCUCUUCCCCUGGGAGGCACAAUGGGGAAUUAAACUCCUAGCUUCUGGCAAUGCCGCCGGGUUUCCCAGGUCACUCAACAAUCCAGCCGACUAAAUAUACAGUGGAUAUUCAUAUGGCUCUUCAAACAUCACACUUUCAGAAGAGACUCCAGGAUUGCUAAUAGGGGAACUUCCUCCACAUGUUUAUUGCUAGAAACUUAAAAUAUCCAUAGGACGAAAAUCUGCAUAAAGUUUAUAUCAAAAUAUGACAAUAUGCGAACACUUACUAAGAUUUAGAUUUCCUGAAAGAACAAUGCGACACAAUUGAUUUUUGA